UUCCGGUUGAUCCUGCCGGACCUGACUGUUAUCGGAUUGAUACUAAGUCAUGCGAGUCUUUGUAGCAAUACAAGGCAUACGGCUCAGUAACACGUAGUCAGUCUACCCUAUGGACGGGGAUAACCUCGGGAAACUGAGAAUAAUACCCGAUAGAUCAUUAUGCCUGGAAUGGUUUAUGAUCCAAAUGAAUUUCGCCAUAGGAUGGGACUGCGGUCUAUCAGCUUGUUGGUGAGGUAAUGGCCCACCAAGGCUAUAACAGAUACGGGCUCUGAGAGGAGAGGCCCGGAGAUGGGUACUGAGACACGGACCCAGGUCCUAUGGGGCGCAGCAGGCGAGAAAACUUUGCAAUGUGCGAAAGCACGACAAGGUUAAUCCGAGUGUUUCCUGCUAAAGGAAUCUUUUGUCAGCCAUAACACCACUGAUGAAUAAGGGGUGGGCAAGUUCUGGUGUCAGCCGCCGCGGUAAAACCAGCACCUCAAGUGGUCAGGAGGAUUAUUGGGCCUGAAGCAUCCGUAGCCUGCUUUGUAAGUUUUCGGUUAAAUCCAUGUGCUCAACAUAUGGGCUGCCGGGAAUACUACACAGCUAGGGAGUGGGAGAGGUAGACGGUACUCCAUAGGAAGGGGUAAAAUCCUUUGAUCUAUGGAAGACCACCUGUGGCGAAGGCGGUCUACCAGAACACGUUCGACGGUGAGGGAUGAAAGCUGGGGGAGCAAACCGGAUUAGAUACCCGGGUAGUCCCAGCUGUAAACUAUGCAAACUCGGUGAUGCAUUGGCUUGUGGCCAGUGCAGUGCCGCAGGGAAGCCGUUAAGUUUGCCGCCUGGGAAGUACGUACGCAAGUAUGAAAACUUAAAGGAAUUGGCGGGGGAGCACCACAAGGGGUGAAGCCUGGCGUUCAAUUGGAUUCAACGCCGGG
rnacentral:rRNA from 1 species